CUCGAAACGUUCGUAGCCUUAAGAAUUCUUAACUUUGAUCGUAGCCAAUGUCUUAAGAAUGGGCUUAAGAAGUUCGUUGGGGUACGAUCGUUUCGAGAACAGCUAGCCUGUUUCCUACAUUGUUU